UACGAAGGGGGGCUAGCGUUUGCUCGGAAUCACUGGGCGUAAAGGGUGCGUAGGCGGGUCUUUUUUUAAGUCAGGGGUGAAAUCCUGGAGCUCAACUCCAGAACUGCCUUUUGAUACUGAAGAUCUUGAGUUCGGGAGAGGUGAGUGGAACUGCGAGUGUAGAGGUGAAAUUCGUAGAUAUUCGGAAGAACACCAGUGGCGAAGGCGGCUCACUGGACUGGUAUUUGACGCUGAGGUGCGAAAGCGUGGGGAGCAAACAGGG
rnacentral:rRNA from 1 species